UACGAAGGGGGCUAGCGUUGCUCGGAAUCACUGGGCGUAAAGGGUGCGUAGGCGGUCGGGGAAGUCUGAUGUGAAAUCUCACAGCUUAACUGUGAAACUGCAUUGGAUACUAUCCGGCUAGAGGAAUGGAGGGGAGACUGGAAUACUUGGUGUAGCAGUGAAAUGCGUAGAUAUCAAGUGGAACACCAGUGGCGAAGGCGAGUCUCUGGACAUUUCCUGACGCUGAGGCACGAAAGCCAGGGGAGCAAACGGG
rnacentral:rRNA from 1 species